UACGGAGGAUCCAAGCGUUGUCCGGAUUUAUUGGGUUUAAAGGGUGCGUAGGUGGAUACUUAAGUCAGGGGUGAAAGCCUGCAGCUCAACUGUAGAACUGCCCUUGAAACUGAUUAUCUUGAGUGCGGUUGAGGUAGGCGGAAUGUGUCAUGUAGCGGUGAAAUGCUUAGAUAUGAUACAGAACACCGAUUGCGAAGGCAGCUUACUAAACCGUAACUGACACUGAGGCACGAAAGCAUGGGGAGCAAACAGG
rnacentral:rRNA from 1 species